GCAUUGAUGGUGUAGUGGUAGAAUUCCCGUCUUCCAUGUGAGAGACCUGAGUUCGAUUCCCAACCAAUGCA
rnacentral:tRNA from 1 species